rnacentral:tRNA from 1 species
GGAGAGAUGGCUGAGCGGUUGAAGGCACCGGUUUCGAAAACCGGCAUCGGGGAAACUCGAUCGGGGGUUCGAAUCCCCCUCUCUCCG